GAUGAACGCUGGCGGCGUGCCUAAUACAUGCAAGUCGAGCGAAUGGAUUAAGAGCUUGCUCUCAUGAAGUUAGCGGCGGACGGGUGAGUAACACGUGGGUAACCUGCCCAUAAGACUGGGAUAACUCCGGGAAACCGGGGCUAAUACCGGAUAACAUUUUGAACCGCAUGGUUCGAAAUUGAAAGGCGGCUUCGGCUGUCACUUAUGGAUGGACCCGCGUCGCAUUAGCUAGUUGGUGAGGUAACGGCUCACCAAGGCAACGAUGCGUGGCCGACCUGAGAGGGUGAUCGGCCACACUGGGACUGAGACACGGCCCAGACUCCUACGGGAGGCGGCAGUAGGGAAUCUUCCGCAAUGGACGAAAGUCUGACGGAGCAACGCCGCGUGAGUGAUGAAGGCUUUCGGGUCGUAAAACUCUGUUGUUAGGGAAGAACAAGUGCUAGUUGGAUAAGCUGGCACCUUGACGGUACCUAACCAGAAAGCCACGGCUAACUACGUGCCAGCCGCCGCAGUAA
rnacentral:rRNA from 1 species